rnacentral:rRNA from 1 species
GACGAACGCUGGCGGCGUGCUUAACACAUGCAAGUCGAACGGAAAGGCCCUGCUUUUGUGGGUUGCUCGAGUGGCGAACGGGUGAGUAACACGUGAGUAACCUGCCCUUGACUUUGGGAUAACUUCAGGAAACUGGGGCUAAUACCGGAUAUGAUCUCCUGCUGCAUGGUGGGGGUUGGAAAGUUUCGGCGGUUGGGGAUGGACUCGCGGCUUAUCAGCUUGUUGGUGGGGUAGUGGCUUACCAAGGCUUUGACGGGUAGCCGGCCUGAGAGGGUUACCGGCCACAUUGGGACUGAGAUACGGCCCAGAAUCCUACGGGAGGCAGCAGUGGGGAAUAUUGCACAAUGGGCGGAAGCCUGAGGCAGCAACGCCGCGUGCGGGAUGACGGCCUUCGGGUUGUAAACCGCUUUCGCCUGUGACGAAGCGUGAGUGACGGUAAUGGGUAAAGAAGCAACGGCUAACUACGUG